GACGAACGCUGGCGGCGUGCUUAACACAUGCAAGUCGAACGGAAAGGCCCUGCUUUUGUGGGGUGCUCGAGUGGCGAACGGGUGAGUAACGCGUGAGUAACCUGCCCUUGACUUUGGGAUAACUUCAGGAAACUGGGGCUAAUACCGGAUAGGAGCUCCUGCUGCAUGGUGGGGGUUGGAAAGUUUCGGCGGUUGGGGAUGGACUCGCGGCUUAUCAGCUUGUUGGUUGGGUAGUGGCUUACCAAGGCUUUGACGGGUAGCCGGCCUGGGAGGGUGACCGGCCACAUUGGGACUGAGAUACGGCCCAGACUCCUACGGGAGGCAGCAGGGGGGAAUAUUGCACAAUGGGCGGAAGCCUGAUGCAGCAACGCCGCGUGCGGGAUGACGGCCUUCGGGUUGUAAACCGCUUUCGCCUGUGACGAAGCGUGAGUGACGGUAAUGGGUAAAGAAGCACCGGCUAACUACGUG
rnacentral:rRNA from 1 species